rnacentral:rRNA from 1 species
GGCCUAAGUUCCUUGGAACAGGACGUCAUAGAGGGUGAGAAUCCCGUAUGCGGCCAGGUGCCUACGCUCAUGUGAAGCUCCUUCGACGAGUCGAGUUGUUUGGGAAUGCAGCUCAAAAUGGGUGGUAAAUUUCAUCUAAAGCUAAAUAUUGGCCAGAGACCGAUAGCGCACAAGUAGAGUGAUCGAAAGAUGAAAAGCACUUUGGAAAGAGAGUUAAACAGUACGUGAAAUUGUUGAAAGGGAAGCGCUUGCAACCAGACUUGCGCGCGGCCGAUCAUCCGGUGUUCUCACCGGUGCACUCGGCCGUGCUCAGGCCAGCAUCGGUUUUGGCGGCUGGAUAAAGGCCCUAGGAAUGUAGCUCCUCUCGGGGAGUGUUAUAGCCUAGGGUGCAAUGCAGCCUGCUGGGACCGAGGACCGCGCUUCGGCUAGGAUGCUGGCGUAAUGGUUGUAAGCGGCCCGUCUUGAAACACGGACCAAGGAGUCUAACAUCUAUGCGAGUGUUUGGGUGUCAAACCCAUACGCGUAAUGAAAGUGAACGGAGGUGAGAACCCUUAAGGGUGCAUCAUCGACCGGUCCUGAAGUUUACGGAAGGAUCUGAGUAAGAGCAUAGCUGUUGGGACCCGAAAGAUGGUGAACUAUGCCUGAAUAGGGUGAAGCCAGAGGAAACUCUGGUGGAGGCUCGCAGCGGUUCUGAC